rnacentral:misc_RNA from 1 species
GAUGAAGAACGUAGCGAAAUGCGAUAAGUAAUGUGAAUUGCAGAAUUCAGUGAUUCAUCGAAUCUUUGAACGCACAUUGCGCCCGCCAGUAUUCUGGCGGGCAUGCCUGUUCGAGCGUCAUUUCAACCAUCAAGCCCCCGGCUUGUGUUGGGGACCUGCGGCUGCCGCAGGCCCUGAAAACCAGUGGCGGGCUCGCUGUCACACCGAGCGUAGUAGAUUUUCAUCUCGCUCAGGGCGUGCUGCGGGUUCCGGCCGUAAAAAGCCUUAUUUACCCAAGGUUGACCUCGGAUCAGGUAGGAAGACCCGCUGAACUUAAGCAUAUCAAUAAGCGGAGGA